GAUGAACGCUGGCGGCGUGCCUAAUACAUGCAAGUCGAGCGAAUGGAUUAAGAGCUUGCUCUUAUGAAGUUAGCGGCGGACGGGUGAGUAACACGUGGGUAACCUGCCCAUAAGACUGGGAUAAAUCCGGGAAACCGGGGCUAAUACCGGAUAAUAUUUUGAAAUGCAUGCUUCAAAAUUGAAAGGCGCCUUCGGCUGUCACUUAUGGAUGGACCCGAGUCGCAUUAGCUAGUGGGUGAGGUAACGGCUCACCAAGGCAACGAUGCGUAGCCGACCUGAGAGGGUGAUCGGCCACACUGGGACUGAGAAACGGCCCAGACUCCUACGGGAGGCAGCAGUAGGGAAUCUUCCGCAAUGGACGAAAGUCUGACGGAGCAACGCCGCGUGAGUGAUGAAGGCUUUCGGGUCGUAAAACUCUGUUGUUAGGGAAGAACAAGUGCUAGCUGAAUAAGCUGGCACCUUGACGGUACCUAACCAGAAAGCCACGGCUAACUACGCGCCAGCCGCCGCCGUAA
rnacentral:rRNA from 1 species